rnacentral:lncRNA from 1 species
CAGAAACAUCAAGGAGAGUACUAGUGGGUUUUUUGACAAAUGGGAUAUAACUAGCUUAGUGACCUUGUCCCACCUCAUUUAUUUUAUGUUCUCUAUUAUUAGAACAAUUGUCCUUCGUAAGUGGUUUUCCCUACCUGUUUUCCAAAAACUAUCAGUGGAUCAUAUUUGCUAUGACAUUAAAUGUAACUGUGACUUGGCUUUUAAAGCCUUUCAAAAUCCAGCUCCACCAUGCCUUUCUGAAUUCACUCCCUAAAGCUCCAUAAUCCUGAGUAAAUUCUCAUUUCAAUUGGAAUCAUUUCCAUAAAUAUUCAUUGAGCACCUAGUUAAUCCCAGACACUGUGCUAUGUACUAGGAAUAAAUAAGAUAAAGUCCCUGCCCUAUAGGAGUUCAGGACAUAUCAGGAGAAUUAACACGAAUGUAGCUAUAAUAUAAUCAUAAUAAUAACAAUCAUUAACUUUAUUGAGCCCAUUCGUAUAGUCCAGGCACCGUUCUAAGCAUUUCAUAUCAAUGUCUUUAAUCCUCACAACAAACCUAUGAGGUGGUAUCAUCAGUAUCCUCAUUUUAUAGCUGAACCUCAGAGAGGUUGUUUUCCAAGAUCACACAGUUAAUAAAUGAGUAACUGAAUCCAGACAAUCUGGCUACAGAACCUACUUCCUUAACUACUAUUAUUAUAUAGAUAUUGUGAAGAGAGCUGUACUGGAAAUGGAACAAAGGCUACAGGAACAGAAAGGAUGCAAUUCAUUCAGCUUGGGGAUAUGGGAAAUGGUGUCACAGAGACAAUCUUGCUCUAUUCCUUAUUUAUGUAUACCCCUACCUCCUGGAAAGGAAUCAGGACAGCUCACACUGGGAAAGAUUCAGAGCAUACAUACAAAAGCCUUGAGACUGGAAAGAUUAUUUGGAAGUUGGGCAGAAGAGCAGGUCACAAAUAGACUAAGAAAGAGAAGCCAUGUUAACAGGAGGAAUACCAGAUAAGACAGAGGGCUUCCAGAUUUAUUGGUGUGAUAAAUGUAAAAACACUGUCACAGAGUCUGGGGAAGAAAGUCUUUCAAGAAGAAAGGAAUGGUCAAUCACGCAAAAAUACUGCUGAGAGGGGCGAAGCAAGGAGAAGAAAGAAAAAAUAUAUGAAUGCUGCCACACACAUCCAUGGUUUGUCAAUGCCCAGCCAUCCUUGGUGUGCAUUCUUAGUGAGUUUCUACUCCAAUUCUUCCUGAGUGAUUACAUUUUCAUCACAUUUCUGAAGGUUUUGCCACUUCUGCCAUCACAAUUUGAAGCUCACACGAUGCUGGGACAGGGACAUCACUGAAUUUUUCUGCAGCAAAUUGAAGACCAAAUGGGAAUUUCUGCCUCAAUCAGCAUCCAUUGGGAAUCAACUUGAUGUGAGGCGUUAUGCUA